rnacentral:rRNA from 1 species
UACGUAGGGGGGCAAGCGUUGUCCGGAUUUACUGGGCGUAAAGAGCGCGCAGGCGGUCGGAUCAGUCGAAUGUGAAAGCCCCCGGCUCAACUGGGGAGGGUCAUUCGAUACUGUCCGACUCGAAGGCAGGAGAGGGAAGCGGAAUUCCCGGUGUAGUGGUGAAAUGCGUAGAUAUCGGGAGGAACACCAGUGGCGGAAGGCGGCUCACUGGCCCGGUACUGACGCUGAGGUGCGAAAGCGUGGGGAGCAAACAGG